GGACUUAAAAAAUCCGUCGACUUUAAAAAUCGUGAGGGUUCAAGUCCCUCUAUCCCCA
rnacentral:tRNA from 1 species